GCCUUCGUGGUGCAAUAGCCAGCAUACUCGGCGCAUAUUCGAAAGGUCCGAGGUUCGAGUCCCGGCGAGGGCA
rnacentral:tRNA from 1 species